rnacentral:rRNA from 1 species
UACGGCGGGUGCAAGCGUUAUCCGGAUUCACUGGGUUUAAAGGGUGCGUAGGUGGGUUGCUAAGUCAGUGGUGAAAUCCCCGAGCUUAACUUGGGAACUGCCAUUGAUACUAUUGAUCUUGAAUACCGUGGAGGUCAGCGGAAUAUGUCAUGUAGCGGUGAAAUGCUUAGAUAUGACAUAGAACACCAAUUGCGAAGGCAGCUGGCUACGCGAAUAUUGACACUGAUGCACGAAAGCGUGGGGAUCAAACAGG